UGGGGAAUUUUGGACGAUGGGCGCAAGCCUGAUCCAGCCAUGCCGCGUGAGUGACGAAGGCCUUAGGGUUGUAAAGCUCUUUUGGCGGGGAAGAUAAUGACGGUACCCGCAGAAUAAGCUCCGGCUAACUUCGUGCCAGCAGCCGCGGUAAUACGAAGGGAGCUAGCGUUGUUCGGAAUCACUGGGCGUAAAGCGCACGUAGGCGGACUUUCAAGUCAGGGGUGAAAUCCCGGGGCUCAACCUCGGAACUGCCUUUGAUACUGUUGGUCUCGAGUCCGGAAGAGGUGAGUGGAAUUCCUAGUGUAGAGGUGAAAUUCGUAGAUAUUAGGAAGAACACCGGUGGCGAAGGCGGCUCACUGGUCCGGUACUGACGCUGAGGUGCGAAAGCGUGGGGAGCAAACA
rnacentral:rRNA from 1 species